CAUAGAAGCCAGGGCCAGAGAAUGGCAGUGCCAUGGAGAAACCAGCAGGCACACCGACUCUCCCUUAGGAAAGAGUGUGCAGACAAGUCAGCAAGUCCCUGGGGAUGUGGCAAACUCUGGAUGCAUCUAGGUCAGCAGUACUCUGCAAGAGGGGCAGGUCACUGGAUAUCUAAUGCAACAGCAGUGGGCACAGCUUGUGUGCAGGGUUUCCAGAGAGUGGCGAUUCCAGGCGUCAGAAGUUCUGAUGUUUCAAGCCCCUGGGGUGUCCUUCAAUGGAAGAUACAAGAGGAAAAAGAAUGUUUCCAGCCAGGAGUUCUUAUAAAAUGUAAAGACUUCAUCCAUCAGAACCCUAUCCAAGAGGACCCUUGGCAAAAUUCCUUUUUAUGGUCCUGGAGCAGAGUGACACCUGUCAUACAUUUAAUGGAUUUCCCCCCUUCUCCCUUAAAAAAAAGAGAAUAGAAACAUGAAACUCUUAGAACUAAUUUUAUCAACACUGUCUUUUUUUUUUUUUUUUUAAAGUCUCAUUUAUUUAUUUGAAAGGCAGAGUUAGAGAGAAAGUCAGAUACAGUUCUUCCAUCAGCGUUUCACUCUGCAGAUGACUGCAUUGGCUGGGCCUGGGCCAGGUGGAAGCCAAGAGCCAGGAGCCAGGAGCUUCUUCCGGGUCUCCCACACGAAUGCCAGAGGCCCAGGCACAUUAGCAGGGAGGUGGAUCAGGGACUUGAACUGCAGCUCCUAUGAGAUGCUGGCCCUGCAGGCUGCAGCUUAGGCCUCUGCUCCCCAGUGCUGGCCCCUCAGAUUUGUCUUACCAAGAUUCAUCUGCAAUUUUCUCAGAAAAAAGUUCAUAUUUUUUUAAAAAUAAAUUUAAUUUAUUUUAUGUAUUUGAAAGCCGAAGUUACAGAGAGGGAGAGAGAAUCUUCCAUCUGCAGGUUCACUACAAUGGCCAUGGCUAGGCCAGGCUCAAUUCAGGAGUCAGAAGCUUCUUCCAGGUCUCCUGUGUGGGCGCAGGGACUCAAGCACUUGGGCUGUUCUCUGACACUUUCCCAGGUGCAUUAGCAGGGAGAUGGAUUGGGAGCAGAGCGGCCGGGACUUGAACUGGUGCUCAUGUGGGAUGCUGGUGCUACUGGCAGUGACUUAACAUGCUGACUUAACAGUGCCUGCCCCAAAAGUUCACAUUCUCACCACAAAUGGGGCGUAUAAAGCUCACAAUGUUCCAAGAGACAUAAUU